AAAAGUAUCCAUUAGUCUUCAACUAAUUUGAGUGCUUCAGCUUCCUUCAUCCACAAGAUGGAGAACCAGCAAGAAAAGGGCAUCAUGUUCAAGAAAUUCACGUGGGCAGUUCAAGAUUUCUCAAAAAACAAAACCAAGAAACAACGCUCCAAGGCUUUUGAAGCUGGUGGUUGUAAAUGGCGAAUCGUGGUUAAUCCAAUUGGAAAGGGUGUGGAGCAUUUGUCCCUGUUUCUGAAGGCUGCAAAUUCUUUACCAUCAUUUGGUUGGACCAGAUAUGUCUAUUUCAAGCUGUCUCUCAUUAAUCAGAUCGACAA